AGCAAGUGACGAGUGCCAACCGAAGAAGUC
rnacentral:piRNA from 1 species